CCACGCAAGUUCGUCGGGAAAUCUGCGCGCUUAACGCGCAGGCGUCCGACGGAAACUGUGUGGCUUGGGACCGGAAGACCAGAGGGGUACGUCCGGGGUAGGAGUGAAAUCCCGUAAUCCUGGACGGACCACCGGUGGCGAAAGCGCCUCUGGAAGACGGAUCCGACGGUGAGGGACGAAAGCUCGGGUCACGAACCGGAUUAGAUACCCGGGUAGUCCGAGCUGUAAACGAUGUCUGCUAGGUGUGGCACAGGCUACGAGCCUGUGCUGUGCCGUAGGGAAGCCGUGAAGCAGACCGCCUGGGAAGUACGUCCGCAAGGAUGAAACUUAAAGGAAUUGGCGGGGGAGCACUACAACCGGAGGAGCCUGCGGUUUAAUUGGACUCAACGCCGGACAUCUCACCAGCAUCGACAACGUGCAGUGAAGGUCAGGUUGAUGACCUUACUGGAGCCGUUGAGAGGAGGUGCAUGGCCGCCGUCAGCUCGUACCGUGAGGCGUCCUGUUAAGUCAGGCAACGAGCGAGACCCGCACUCCUAAUUGCCAGCAACACCCUUGUGGUGGUUGGGUACAUUAGGAGGACUGCCAGUGCCAAACUGGAGGAAGGAACGGGCAACGGUAGGUCAGUAUGCCCCGAAUGUGCUGGGCGACACGCGGGCUACA
rnacentral:rRNA from 1 species